rnacentral:lncRNA from 1 species
CUCUUACGAAGAAACCGUUCUACGGAAGCCCAGUUGAGACAACUUGAGACAGGAUUCAGAAACGCUGAUUUUAGUAACCUUAACCCUCGGCCUUUGGUGGGAACUUCGGCUCUGUGGGAAUUAGUCUUUGGGGGACUGAUGGUGAUGCUGAAAUCUUAUUGCGUAGGAAAUUAAGUACAACAAAGAAGACCCGUCGUGAGAGGAGAGUGCGGAAGAAAUGCGAAGUCUACGGGAGGUGGCAGCUGCAGAAGCUUGGUGUUGGAUUUGGAGUUAGGAGACCGGGAGGAGCCCAGCUUCCGGUCCAGACGGUUAUCUUGUUGACUUGCACGACUGCAAACGCCCUGAGCUGCUUUUGCAGUCUGAAACAUCAGCGAUCCCAUCAAAAUAUUCUGUUUCUUGGGAUAUAAGAAACAUCCCAAGGCGGGCUGUAGAGCGAGAGAUUUGGACUCGAUUUAAAUACAGACAAAAUAGUAUGCAUUUACUAACACCACAUCUCACCCCCACGAAACUUGGUAAGGGCAGCAACAGAACUUUAUCUGCCAUAUGCACUCCUGUAUUCCUAUUACCAAAUAGUGCCAGGGACUAAGUGAAUAUUUGCCCAAUGAAUGAGUUUUAAGUAGGAAACGUUUGCAUAGAAUCAUUUUGUUUCUUUUGGAGUUCAAAUCUUCGGAUAUUUUACCCUUCCCAAUCCAAAGAAAAGUCUCUGAGUGAAGAGAUGGGAACAAAAUGUGGUCCAUAAAGCUGCUCUGGAGCCAAAAUAUUGCAGUCACAUCUCGGCAGCGACCUGCCCUCAGGUGGCAUUUUCAAGUCAUGGAGAAGGUGGAGAUGUUCAGCACACUCAUCUCUUUCUAAUUGGACUUGUUGAAAUGACUCCUUCAACUGCAAGAAUGGGCACAGAACUUAGGAAGGGCUGUCACUGGUCCUCACCUGCUCCUGGCCACCUGGGGUCAUCUUCCUUCCACAUAACUCCCUCAGAAAACCUCACCUGUGUCAGCUGCACUUUCAGUAGUGCCUCCUCCCGCAUGGACUGCUCUAACUUCCACUCCGUACGUGCUUUGCUGCGGCUGGACAACUGGAUGGUGAAGAGUGAGAAGUUUCAAUCUGGAGAGCCUGGGCAUUUCCACACAGUGCCCCUUAAAAGGACUAGGGCUAGGCCCAAUAUACAACUCAGUCAGUAAAGAUCAAGGCAUUUCCAAG